AUGGACGCGGUGGAGUCCUCAUCGCCCUACUCGCCGCCCUCGCUGCGCCACAAGCUGCGGGCCACCGUCUGCGGCUGCUUCGGCUCACCACCGUCACCGGUAAGCGGCGGGGAGAGGCCGCACACCGGUGGCGGCAGGGCCAGGUGGAGGAGGCGCGUGACGGGGGAGUUCAGGUACGACCCACUCAGCUACGCGCUCAACUUUGACGACAACGGCGACGCCGACGCAGAGGACGCCGCCUUCCAACACCGGAAUUUCAACUUCCGCCUGCCGCCCUCGCCGGCGCCGGCCUCUCGAGCCGUCGUCAUCGCCUGA
rnacentral:rRNA from 1 species